UUUAUUUUGGAAGGAGCUAUUUUUUGUUUUGGAUUUGUGCGGUGAGAGGAAGAGUUUUAUUUCCAAGUUUCCUUUUGGAAAACAGUGGCCACGGAAGAAAAUAAGAAGAUGGAAAAUUAAGUCAAUCAUACUUUAAUUUGUUUUUUUUGGAAUACAUAAUCAUUUUGGGGAUAUUUUGGAUGGAAUGUGGAUGUUUUGUUUGGUUUUUGUGGAAUAAAAGUUGAGUUUUCCGAUACUGGGCAGCUACCUGCUUGCCGUACCUUCCUGUUGGUGUGGAGUACCUCCCUAGGGUUGGGAACCAGAGGAUACCUUAUUUGGCUCUCCCCUCAUCAUCUUCACCGAAGGUUGGAAGAAGCAAUCCGCCUACUUUUUGUAGGGACAGGUUUUUAUAUAACUAAAUUUGCAUGUCAAUUUGUUUUAAUAAUAACUUCCAAUUUUACUAUU